rnacentral:lncRNA from 1 species
CAGCAUACAAGCUCAUACAGAAGCAAAAUUCAGCAGGUUAUCAUGUACAAGUGGCGGGUUAUAGGAAGACAGAACAGCAUACAAAGCUCAUACACAUACGGAAGCAAAAUUCAGCAGGUUAUCAUGUACAAUCUCACUUGUACAUGCAACAGUUCUAUCCAAAGCAAAAGAUAAAAGGCAACAUAGAACAUAAAUAUCUUGAUCAAAAUUAAUUUUCCAUACAUGAUUAUCUCAAGGACAACAAUCCAUGGGAAACAUCAUUAAAAAAGAAGGUACGAUCAACACUUUAAUUUGCAUCCGAUCUUUCUCAUCAAUUCGUUAUAUCUCUCACAUCAUAUGAAAAUAAAGGAGCUGAAACCUGCAUGUUGUGCCUUCCCC